rnacentral:rRNA from 1 species
GGCGGUUCGCCGCCGAUGACGUCGCGAGAAGUCCACUGAACCUUAUCAUUUAGAGGAAGGAGAAGUCGUAACAAGGUUUCCGUAGGUGAACCUGCGGAAGGAUCAUUGUCGAAUCCUAUGGGAAAAACGACCAGAGAACCGGUUAUAAAACUCGACGAGGACGGCGGGUUUCGCCCGACGUCCCUCGACACGCCCUGGGGUUGCGCUCGAGCGCCUCGAGCGCCCGAGCGUCCCAGCGGCGGAACAACGAACCCCGGCGCGGAAAGCGCCAAGGAAUUCGAACAAAGAGAGCGAAGCUCCCCUCGCCCCGGGCACGGUGCGCGGGCGGGACGCAAAGCGAUCUCCUAUUAUCAUAACGACUCUCGGCAACGGAUAUCUCGGCUCUCGCAUCGAUGAAGAACGUAGCGAACUGCGAUACUUGGUGUGAAUUGCAGAAUCCCGUGAACCAUCGAGUCUUUGAACGCAAGUUGCGCCCGAAGCCGUUUGGCCGAGGGCACGCUUGCCUGGGUGUCACACAUGGCGUUGCCCCAACCCCCUCGCCCUGAGGAAACUCGGGCAUGCGGGCGUUGGGAGCGUAGGUUGGCCUCCCGCGACGGUCUCGUCCCGGUUGGCCCAAAAUCGAGCGUCGGAGCGAUCAGCACCACGACAUUCGGUGGUUGACUAGUGCUACUAAUCAGAUGUCGCGCGUGCCCGCUCGUUCGCAUGCUCCGUGGAUCAAUUCCUUUACCAACGCGACCCCAGGUUCAAGCGGGGCUACCCGCUGAGUUUAAGCAUAUCAAUAAG